CCUACGGGAGGCAGCAGUGGGGAAUUUUCCGCAAUGGGCGAAAGCCUGACGGAGCAAUACCGCGUGAGGGAUGAAAGCCUGUGGGUUGUAAACCUCUUUUCUCAAGGAAGAAGUUCUGACGGUACUUGAGGAAUAAGCAUCGGCUAACUCUGUGCCAGCAGCCGCGGUAAUACAGAGGAUGCAAGCGUUAUCCGGAAUCACUGGGCAUAAAGCGUCUGUAGGUUGCUUAGCAAGUCUGCUGUUAAAGAUCAGGGCCUAACCCUGGGAAAGCAGUGGAAACUAUUAAGCUUGAGUGUGGUAGAGGUAGAGGGAAUUCCUGGUGUAGCGGUGAAAUGCGUAGAUAUUAGGAAGAACACCAAUGGCGAAAGCACUCUACUGGGCCACAACUGACACUAAGAGACGACAGCUAGGGGAGCAAAUGGGAUUAGAUACCCCAGUAGUCCUAGCCGUAAACGAUGGAUACUAGGUGUUGCACGUAUUAACCCGUGCAGUAUCGUAGCUAAGGCGUUAAGUAUCCCGCCUGGGAAGUACGCUCGCAAGAGUGAAACUUAAGGAAUUGACGG
rnacentral:rRNA from 1 species